AGCAGAGGCAGGAAGAUCCCUGCGCCAGAUGUUUCACAGCCCUUAUGUGGGGAGGGCUCUUGGGUUUGAUGAUCUCUGAGGUUCUGACCAGGGCUGCUCUGCAAUUCUUUUCCUUUCCUUUGGCAGCUGUUUUAAACAGUGACAAGGAUUCUAGCAGAAUUGGGUAAUUUCUAAAAAAUCAGUUUCUGGAAACUCCCUGGAAGCCAAGCCUUCAGGCAGAGUAUCUUUCCUUCUCAAAAAUAAAAUGCAAAAGAAAAAUAGUACAGGUCAUUCGUGCAAGAGGGCAGAUAGCCUAAUCCCCCAGGAGGUCACAUGUCCCCGCUCCCAGCCAGGACUCUAGAUCUGGGAGGCUGGACAGGCCCAAGGAAAGAAGGCACAUUCCACAGCUUGGCACUCACCCGGUGCCCAGCAGCAUUGCUAAUAUGGAAACAUUUUUUGAUCGGCUCCCUAGAAGUUUACUUGGGCCCAUUUGGUCCCUGCUUUGUGAGUUCAGGCCUAUAAUAAGAGGCAUUUAUUUAUCUAUCUACUUAAUACUGAGAUCUGUCUCUGAGCCGGACACUGUGCCGAGUACCCAGAUAGAAAGAUGAGUGAGAUGGCCUUGUUCUCAGGUAGUUCACAGUUAAUGGGGGAAGGAUCCAUCAGCAAACUUAUAAUGCAACGUGGAACCAGGAGAGCAGAUUUCUCGGGCUGUCAUGACUCUGUCCUGAAUCUGAUGCAAUUGUACAAGACGGGCACUCAGCUGGGCCUGCGGGUGUUGGAGAAGGUUCUCUUGAAGUGGACGUGAUGGGGCAGGAGUAAGGCAGAAAGAAGAUCUUUGGGCUGGCGAUCCAACUUCUGGUAGAUGGUUAGUGCUCCAUCCACGGGGACCGAGGCCCCUCCCUGCCAGGGAGUUGUUACUGCCUAGGCUGUGGUCCCCAAAGACGCAGCAUCCCAGUCACAGGAACAGAUAUCUUUGAAUCAUCGUCUCUGCAGCUAACAUCCACACUCUUGUUUAAAGCCUUCUAUUCCCUGA